rnacentral:rRNA from 1 species
UGGGGAAUAUUGCACAAUGGAGGGAACUCUGAUGCAGCGACGCCGCGUGAGUGAUGAAGGAAUUCGUUUCGUAAAACUCUGUUCUAUGGGAAGAAAAGGACUGUACCAUAGGAGAAAGCUCCGGCUAAAUACGUGCCAGCAGCCGCGGUAAUACGUAUGGAGCGAGCGUUGUCCGGAAUUAUUGGGCGUAAAGGGUGCGCAGGCGGCUUUACAAGUUGGAUGUGAAAUAUUGUGGCUCAACCACAAACGUGCAUCCAAAACUGCAAAGCUGGAGUUAAGGAGAGGUAAGUGGAAUUCCUGGUGUAGCGGUGGAAUGCGUAGAUAUCAGGAGGAAUACCGGUGGCGAAGGCGACUUACUGGACUUAAACUGACGCUCAGGCACGAAAGCGUGGGGAGCAAACAGG